rnacentral:sRNA from 2 species
ACGUCGCACUCGUACACGCCGGUUCCUCCCCUACCGUCCGUGCCCACUUGACAACCGCUCGCCACGUUUUGUUGACC